rnacentral:rRNA from 1 species
AUGAGGACAAAACCAAAGCAUUGGGCUAGGGCAGUUUUUCUAGCUGGAGCAAACUGUGAAUCAGUUGAUAAUAAUCUGUGUGAGUCAUUCAACAAUUCCAUUAUAGAAGCAAGGUUCUAUCCCAUUAUCUCACAACAAGAAAUGAUAAGAAAGAAGGUGUUUGUCAGAGUGCAAGAGCAAAGAUCCAAAAGUGCAAAGUGGAAGCGUAAAAUUUUCCCCAACAUUUUGAGGAAAUUGGAUGUUAGUAUUAAGAUGACAUAG